rnacentral:rRNA from 1 species
CAGCAGCCGCGGUAAUACGAAGGGGGCUAGCGUUGCUCGGAAUCACUGGGCGUAAAGGGUGCGUAGGCGGGUCCUUAAGUCAGGGGUGAAAUCCUGGAGCUCAACUCCAGAACUGCCUUUGAUACUGAAGAUCUUGAGUUCGGGAGAGGUGAGUGGAACUGCGAGUGUAGAGGUGAAAUUCGUAGAUAUUCGCAAGAACACCAGUGGCGAAGGCGGCUUACUGGCUCGAAACUGACGCUGAGGCGCAAAAGCGUGGGGAGCAAACAGGAUUAGAUACCCCCGUAGUCCCUGUCUCUUAUAC